UACGUAGGGGGCAAGCGUUGUCCGGAUUUACUGGGCGUAAAGAGCGUGUAGGCGGCCAAGCAGGUCUGUUGUGAAAACUGGAGGCUCAACUUCCAGACGUCGACAGAAACCGCUUGGCUAGAGUCCGGAAGAGGAGAGUGGAAUCCUGGUGUAGCGGUGAAAUGCGCAGAUAUCAGGAAGAACACCGAUGGCGAAGGCAGUCU
rnacentral:rRNA from 1 species